CAUUAGGAUAAUGUAAGGCACCUGCGAGCAUUGACUUAAAUCAUCUGAAAGCAGGAUCAACAUAGAAAUCGACAGUUUACAGGACAUGAAAUAACGUUUUAGUCAUGGAUUCAAACACAGAAGGCCCCCUGACCCUGCAGACAGAUGAAGGCGUUGCACCGGACAAACAGGAACUGGAGGAUGUCAGCGACAGACUGGUGACCCUUUCAGAUCAUAUUACAAUAUGCAACCAAGUCCUGAAUGACCUCAAAGAACUAAGUGACAUCCUAGUGAGAAAAUCUCUUCAGGAUGUGACAUUACCUCUGGAGGACUGAGCAGAAGUGAAACUCUUUAAUUUGUUUUAAUUAUUAAUAAAUAAAGAUGUCAAUAUCAAUUUGAUCAGUAAAACUUCAUUGAGAUGGAGAAGAAAACAUUUCAGUGACAAGGAUAAGGUUUUAUUGUAUUAUAUUGCUCUGUCCAGAAAUGUAUUUAUAAUAUUACUUUGUACGAAACAAGCAAACAUUUUCACAUUAUACAUUCUCUUUAAAAAAAAUACAAAUCCUUAACAAUUCAUCGCUCUUUGGGUGUCAAGACAUUUAUUUCGAAGUAUAUGGUUUUUUCUUUAUUUUGCCCAAAUAGAGAAAUGUAAGGAAAUCUGGAAGUCUAUUUCCAAAAACACUUGCUUCCAAACAAAUGUCUCCCCCAGUGAUUUCUCCCGUUACCAUUAAGGUCAACUUAAACAGAAAAAACCCAUAAAUCUGCUUAUUGAUUAAACAAAUAAGGGCAGCUGUUGAACUUUUAUUU